rnacentral:rRNA from 1 species
AUUGAACGCUGGCGGCAGGCCUAACACAUGCAAGUCGAACGAGUGGCGGACGGGUGAGUAAUGUAUGGGAAACUGCCUGAUAGAGGGGGAUAACUACUGGAAACGGUAGCUAAUACCGCAUACCAUCAGAUGGGCCCAUAUGGGAUUAGCUAGUUGGUGGGGUAACGGCUCACCCAGGCGACGAUCUCUAGCUGGUCUGAGAGGAUGAAUAGCCACCCUGGAACGGAGACACGGCCAAGACUCCUACGGGAGGCAGCAGUUGGGAAUAUUGCACAAUGGGCGCAAGCCUGAUGCAGCCAUGCCGCGUGUAUGAAGAAGGCCUUCGGGUUGUAAAGUACUUACUGCGGGGAGGCGUUAACCGCAGAAGAAGCACCGGCUAACUCCGUGCCAGCAGACGCGGUAAUAC